GAUCCUGGCUUAGGACGAACGCUGGCGGCGUGCCUAACACAUGCAAGUCGAGCGAGGAGAUUCCUUCGGGAUGAUCCUAGCGGCGGACGGGUGAGUAACACGUGGGCAACCUGCCUCAUAGAGAGGAAUAGCCUUCCGAAAGGGAGAUUAAUACCUCAUAACAUUGCAGUUUCGCAUGGAACAGCAAUUAAAGGGGUAAUCCGCUAUGAGAUGGGCCCGCGGCGCAUUAGCUAGUUGGUGAGGUAACGGCUCACCAAGGCGACGAUGCGUAGCCGACCUGAGAGGGUGAUCGGCCACAUUGGGACUGAGACACGGCCCAGACUCCUACGGGAGGCAGCAGUGGGGAAUAUUGCACAAUGGGGGAAACCCUGAUGCCAGCAACGCCGCGUGAGUGAUGACGGCCUUCGGGUUGUAAAGCUCUGUCUUCAGGGACGAUAAUGACGGUACCUGAGGAGGAAGCCACGGCUAACUACGUGCCAGCCGCGGC
rnacentral:rRNA from 1 species